rnacentral:rRNA from 1 species
CCUACGGGAGGCAGCAGUGAGGAAUAUUGGUCAAUGGGCUUACGCCUGAACCAGCCAAGUCGCAUGAGGGAAGAAUGCCCUAUGGGUCGUAAACCUCUUUUGUCAGGGAGCAAUUGGCGCUACGUGUAGCGUUAUCGAGAGUACCUGAAGAAAAAGCAUCGGCUAACUCCGUGCCAGCAGCCGCGGUAAUACGGAGGAUGCGAGCGUUAUCCGGAUUUAUUGGGGUUAAAGGGUGCGUAGGUGGAAUCCCAAGUCAGCGGUAAAAUGGCGGGGCUCAACCCCGCUCCGCCGUUGAAACUGGCGGUCUUGAGUGAGCGAGAGGUAUGCGGAAUGCGUGGUGUAGCGGUGAAAUGCAUAGAUAUCACGCAGAACUCCGAUUGCGAAGGCAGCAUACCGGCGCUCAACUGACGCUGAGGCACGAAAGCGUGGGUAUCGAACAGGAUUAGAUACCCCUGUAGUC